UACGAAGGGGGGCUAGCGUUGCUCGGAAUCACUGGGCGUAAAGCGCACGUAGGCGGAUCUUUAAGUCAGGGGUGAAAUCCCGGAGCUCAACUCCGGAACUGCCUUUGAUACUGGAGAUCUUGAGUCCGGGAGAGGUGAGUGGAACUGCGAGUGUAGAGGUGAAAAUUCGUAGAUAUUCGCAAGAACACCAGUGGCGAAGGCGGCUCACUGGCCCGGUACUGACGCUGAGGUGCGAAAGCGUGGGGAGCAAACAGG
rnacentral:rRNA from 1 species